rnacentral:rRNA from 1 species
UGUCAAUGCCGAAAGGCUGAACCAGUAACUGGAAGAAUGAAAAAAUGUAUUAAAAUAAUACAUUAACGAUUUACUCGUAUAAAGUUCUAAAUAGGAUAAUGAUAAUGACAAUUUCCUAUUUAUAAGUCUUGACCAAAUUACGUGCCAGCAGUCGCGGUAAUACGUAAAAGACUAGUGUUAGUCAUCUUUAUUAGGUUUAAAGGGUACCUAGACGGUAAAUUAAACUCUAAAUGAGUACUUUUUUACUAGAGUUUUAUAAGAGAAGGAAGAAUUUCUGGAGUAGUGAUAGAAUAUUUUAAUACCAGAAGGACUGAUAACGGCGAAGGCGUCCUUCUAUGUAAAAACUGACGUUGAGGGACGAAGGCUUGGGUAGCAAUAAGGAUUAGAUACCCUAGUAGUCCAAGCAGAAAAUGAUGAAUGUCAUAGACUAGAAAAUAUAUUUAGUCUAUAAAUGAAAGUGUAAGCAUUCCACCUCAAGAGUAAUAUGGCAACAUAUAAACUGAAAUCAUUAGACCGUUUCUGAAACCAGUAGUGAAGUAUGUUAUUUAAUUCGAUAACCCGCGAAAAACCUUACCACAGUUUGAAUAACAAUAAAAUUGUUACAAGCGCUGCACGGCUGUCUUUAGUUAAUGUCGUGAGAUUUGGUUAACUCCUCAAAUUAACGAAAACCCUCACUUUAUUUAUAUACAUAGAGUGGAACGCCGUUAUAUUGGACUGGUAAUAGGGAUUAAGACAAGUCAUCAUGGCCUAAAUACUGUGGGCUAUAGACGUGCCACAUACGCCUUAACAAAGGGAUGCAAUAUUGUGAAAUGGAGCUAAUCCCCAAAAUUGGAUAUAAUA